UACGGAGGGUGCAAGCGUUGCUCGGAAUUAUUGGGCGUAAAGCGCACGUAGGCGGAUCCUUAAGUCAGGGGUGAAAUCCCGAGGCUCAACCUCGGAACUGCCUUUGAUACUGGGGAUAUCGAGUCCGGGAGAGGUGAGUGGGACUGCGAGUGUAGAGGUGAAAUUCGUAGAUAUUCGCAAGAACACCAGUGGCGAAGGCGGCUCACUGGCCCGGUACUGACGCUGAGGUGCGAAAGCGUGGGGAGCAAACAGG
rnacentral:rRNA from 1 species